CACCCACCUUUCACUUUGCCAGUUAGACAGUUAUUGUCUUGAUUGGCCAUUCAAGGUGGGUAAAGUAUAUCCUUUUUAUAACCCAGGCAAAUGACGCUCAUUUGACUUGGAUCCUGUCAGAGGAAACAGUU
rnacentral:snoRNA from 1 species